CCUACGGGUGGCAGCAGUGAGGAAUAUUGGUCAAUGGGCGCUAGCCUGAACCAGCCAAGUAGCGUGAAGGAUGACUGCCCUAUGGGUUGUAAACUUCUUUUAUAUAGGAAUAAAGUGAAGCAUGUGUGCUGUUUUGCAUGUACUUUAUGAAUAAGGAUCGGCUAACUCCGUGCCAGCAGCCGCGGUAAUACGGAGGAUCCGAGCGUUAUCCGGAUUUAUUGGGUUUAAAGGGAGCGUAGAUGGGUUGUUAAGUCAGUUGUGAAAGUUUGCGGCUCAACCGUAAAAUUGCAGUUGAUACUGGCAGUCUUGAGUACAGUUGAGGUAGGCGGAAUUCGUGGUGUAGCGGUGAAAUGCUUAGAUAUCACGAAGAACUCCGAUUGCGAAGGCAGCUUGCUGGACUGUCACUGACGUUGAUGCUCGAAAGUGUGGGUAUCAAACAGGAUUAGAUACCCUGGUAGUC
rnacentral:rRNA from 1 species